UACAGAGGUCUCAAGCGUUGUUCGGAUUCAUUGGGCGUAAAGGGUGCGUAGGCGGCGUGGUAAGUCGGGUGUGAAAUCUCGGGGCUUAACCCCGAAACUGCAUUCGAUACUGCGGUGCUUGAGGACUGGAGAGGAGACUGGAAUUUACGGUGUAGCAGUGAAAUGCGUAGAGAUCGUAAGGAAGACCAGUGGCGAAGGCGGGUCUCUGGACAGUUCCUGACACUGAGGCACGAAGGCCAGGGGAGCAAACGGG
rnacentral:rRNA from 1 species